rnacentral:rRNA from 1 species
UACGUAGGGGGCAAGCGUUGUCCGGAAUUAUUGGGCGUAAAGCGCGCGCAGGCGGCCGCUUAAGUCUGGUGUUUAAGCCCGGGGCUCAACCCCGGUUCGCACUGGAAACUGGGCGGCUUGAGUGCAGGAGAGGAAAGCGGAAUUCCACGUGUAGCGGUGAAAUGCGUAGAUAUGUGGAGGAACACCAGUGGCGAAGGCGGCUUUCUGGCCUGUAACUGACGCUGAGGCGCGAAAGCGUGGGGAGCAAACAGG